AUUGAACGCUGGCGGCAGGCCUAACACAUGCAAGUCGAACGAGUGGCGGACGGGUGAGUAAUGUCUGGGAAACUGCCUGAUGGAGGGGGAUAACUACUGGAAACGGUAGCUAAUACCGCAUACCAUCAGAUGUGCCCAGAUGGGAUUAGCUAGUUGGUGGGGUAACGGCUCACCAAGGCGACGAUCCCUAGCUGGUCUGAGAGGAUGACAGCCCCCACUGGAACUGAGAAACGGGCCAGACUCCUAGGUGGGGCAGCGGUGGGAAAUAUGGCACAAUGGGCGAAAGCCUGAUGCGGCCAUGCCGCGUGUAUGAAGAAGGCCUUCGGGUUGUAAAGUACUUUCAGCGGGGAGACGUUACCCGCAGAAGAAGCACCGGCUAACUCCGUGCCAGCAGCCGCGGUAAUC
rnacentral:rRNA from 1 species